AACUAUAGCCUAAAAAUCUGAUAAAAGGUAUCAAUUGAAACAUAAACGUAGCAAAGUUUUCCAAAUUCUGACAAGUGUUUAACAAACAAUCCUUUAAGUCUAUUACUAUUAAUGUCCAUGACUGGGGGAGCAUAGUUAGAGAUGGUAAUCCUGGUUGAAGUGCUCCCAUAUCUUCCAUGACUUCAUUAAUUUUUCUCAGAUAAUAGUCUCCAUUUUCCAUUC